rnacentral:rRNA from 1 species
CAGUAGCCACGGGAAUACGUAGGGAGCAAGCGUUGUUCGGAUUUACUGGGCGUAAAGGGCGCGUAGGCGGCGCGGUAAGUCACUUGUGAAAUCUCUGAGCUUAACUCAGAACGGCCAAGUGAUACUGCUGUGCUAGAGUGCGGAAGAGGCAACCGGAAUUCUUGGUGUAGCGGUGAAAUGCGUAGAUAUCAAGAGGAACACCUGAGGCGAAGGCGGGUUGCUGGGCCGACACUGACGCUGAUGCGCGAAAGCCAGGGGAGCAAACGGGAUUAGAUACCCGCGUAGUCCCUGUCUCUUAUAC